AGAGAGGAGGGAGUCCCUCCCUCUAAAACCACUCUGUGUGGGGAAGAUGAGAGCCAGAGCAAAGGUCAGAGGAUCCAUCAGAGACUCAAACCAGAACCAGAACCAGAACCAGAACCCAGCUGUGUGUCCUUUAAGAGCGACAUGUCAAAGGGUGGGCUCAUUUACUUUAAAUCUCCUGGAUCUCCACCAUCAGAGAGAGUGGACCGGCAGACCUCAGAGGUUCCCAGUGGUCCAUCUCCUCAGCAGCAUCAAACACAGCUGGACUCCAUAUUUAUGGUCUGUAUAUGAACAACAACUAUUUUCCACGAGUUCUGUUCAGAGUCACCUUCAUGCUUCACUUUGUAGAC